rnacentral:misc_RNA from 1 species
GUNGGGCUCGAUGUUAGAAGGGCACUCAUCGNACGAGAGCUGUCAACUGUCAUUANGGAGUAAAGUCGUACAGNUUCGUAGUNACUGCGNANGAUCANUACUGAUUGCUUNAUUGCACCACAUGUGUUUUUCUUUGAAACCNACUUGCUUUGGCGGUGGGCCCAGCNUGCCGCCAGAGGUCUAAACUUACAACCAAUUUUUUAUCAACUUGUCACACCAGAUUAUUACUAAUAGUCAAAACUUUCAACAACGGAUCUCUUGGUUCUCGCAUCGAUGAAGAACGCAGCGAAAUGCGAUACGUAAUAUGAAUUGCCGAAAAUUCGUGAAUCAUCGAAUUUUUGAACGCACAUUGCGCCCUCUGGUAUNNCGGAGGGCAUGCCUGUUUGAGCGUCGUUUCUCCCUCAAACCGCUGGGUUUGGUGUUGAGCAAUACGACUUGGGUUUGCUUGAAAGACGGUAGUGGUAAGGCGGGAUCGCUUUGACAAUGGCUUAGGUCUAACCAAAAACAUUGCUUGCGGCGGUAACGUCCACCACGUAUAUCUUCAAACUUUGA